AUUGAACGCUGGCGGCAGGCCUAACACAUGCAAGUCGAACGGUAACAGGAAGAAGCUUGCUUCUUUGCUGACGAGUGGCGGACGGGUGAGUAAUGUCUGGGAAACUGCCUGAUGGAGGGGGAUAACUACUGGAAACGGUAGCUAAUACCGCAUAACGUCGCAAGACCAAAGAGGGGGACCUUCGGGCCUCUUGCCAUCGGAUGUGCCCAGAUGGGAUUAGCUAGUAGGUGGGGUAACGGCUCACCUAUGCGACGAUCCCUAGCUGGUCUGAGAGGAUGACCAGCCACACUGGAACUGAGACACGGUCCAGACUCCUACGGGAGGCAGCAGUGGGGAAUAUUGCACAAUGGGCGCAAGCCUGAUGCAGACAUGCCGCGUGUAUGACGAAGGCCUUCGGGU
rnacentral:rRNA from 1 species